GCGCCUGUGGCUCAAGGGGUAGGGCACCAGCCUCAUAUGCUGGAAGUGGCGGGUUCAAACCUGGCCAUGGCCA
rnacentral:tRNA from 1 species